rnacentral:rRNA from 1 species
AAUAGAUACCCUGGUAGUCCACGCCGUAAACGAUGAGUGCUAAGUGUUAGGGGGUUUCCGCCCCUUAGUGCUGCAGCUAACGCAUUAAGCACUCCGCCUGGGGAGUACGGUCGCAAGACUGAAACUCAAAGGAAUUGACGGGGGCCCGCACAAGCGGUGGAGCAUGUGGUUUAAUUCGAAGCAACGCGAAGAACCUUACCAGGUCUUGACAUCCCACUGACCGCUAUGGAGACAUAGUUUUCCCUUCGGGGACAGUGGUGACAGGUGGUGCAUGGUUGUCGUCAGCUCGUGUCGUGAGAUGUUGGGUUAAGUCCCGCAACGAGCGCAACCCUUGAUUUUAGUUGCCAUCAUUUAGUUGGGCACUCUAAGGUGACUGCCGGUGACAAACCGGAGGAAGGUGGGGAUGACGUCAAAUCAUCAUGCCCCUUAUGACCUGGGCUACACACGUGCUACAAUGGACGGUACAAACGGUUGCCAACCCGCGAGGGGAGCUAAUCCGAUAAAACCGUUCUCAGUUCGGAUUGUAGGCUGCAACUCGCCUAC